AGUGGCGAACGGGUGAGUAAUGCGUGAGCAACCUGCCUUUCAGAGGGGGACAACAGCUGGAAACGGCUGCUAAUACCGCAUAACACAUUCAGGUGGCAUCACUUGGAUGUCAAAGGAGUGAUCCGCUGAGAGAUGGGCUCACGUCUGAUUAGCUAGUUGGUGAGGUAACGGCUCACCAAGGCGACGAUCAGUAGCCGGUCUGAGAGGAUGAACGGCCACAUUGGGACUGAGAUACGGCCCAGACUCC
rnacentral:rRNA from 1 species